rnacentral:rRNA from 1 species
GCGAAAACUUUACAAUGCUGGCAACAGCGAUAAGGGGACCCCGAGUGCCAGGUUACAAAUCUGGCUGUCGAGAUGCCUAAAAAGCAUUUCAUAGCAAGGGCCGGGCAAGACCGGUGCCAGCCGCCGCGGUAACACCGGCGGCUCGAGUGGUAACCGUUAUUAUUGGGUCUAAAGGGUCUGUAGCCGGCCGGAUAAGUCUCUUGGGAAAUCUGGCAGCUUAACUGUCAGGCUUUCAGGAGAUACUGUUCGGCUCGAGGCCGGGAGAGGUGAGAGGUACUUCAGGGGUAGGGGUGAAAUCGUGUAAUCCUUGAAGGACCACCAGUUGCGAAGGCGUCUGACCAGAACGGUCCUGACGGCAGGGGAAGAAAGCUAGGGGCACGAACC